UACGGAAGGCAGCAGUGGGGAAUAUUGCACAAUGGGCGCAAGCCUGAUGCAGCCAUGCCGCGUGUAUGAAGAAGGCCUUCGGGUUGUAAAGUACUUUCAGUCGUGAGGAAGGUGUUAAGGUUAAUAACCUUAGCAAUUGACGUUAGCGACAGAAGAAGCACCGGCUAACUCCGUGCCAGCAGCCGCGGUAAUACGGAGGGUGCGAGCGUUAAUCGGAAUUACUGGGCGUAAAGGGCACGCAGGCGGUUAAUUAAGUUGGAUGUGAAAUCCCCGGGCUUAACCUGGGAAUGGCAUUCAAGACUGGUUAGCUAGAGUCUUGUAGAGGGGGUUAGAAGUUCCAUGUGUAGCGGUGAAAUGCGUAGAGAUGUGGAGGAAUACCGGUGGCGAAGGCGGCCCCUGGACAAAGACUGACGCUCAUGUGCGAAAGCGUGGGGAGCAAAC
rnacentral:rRNA from 1 species